rnacentral:rRNA from 1 species
CCUGGCUGAGGGUCGGUAGCUAAAACUGAAAUGCUCAUUGCGUUUCGCUGGUGGGAGCUUCGCUGAUAGUGUGGCUUUGGCUGCCUUGGCGUCUCCUGAAAUGAGCUCCGCAAGGAGCUGGACUAGUCACGAAAUAAACGGCAGUGUCGUGUCACGGCGGUUGGUUUCGGUGGUCCGCGCAGCGUCUUUGUAUGCUGGUGCUGGUUGCCCCGAGCUUCUCGUUUAGCGCACUGUAUCGUAGUGGCCUUACCAUAUUUCUACACGACCUCAGAGCAGGCGAGACUACCCGCUGAAUUUAAGCAUAUCAGUAAG